CUGGCAGAUCACCUCACUAGCCUACUAAACAAACGUUCUGUCUCGGCUGUGAAAGAUGUCUAACACUGUAACGACCGCAGCUAACAGGGUGGUGGUCAUCACCACUGUACAACCCGCGGGGAACGGGAUGGGGGUCACUUCUGCCCCUCAUUUCAUGGGACAGACGGUGUCCAAAAAGCUCGGACGAUUCCAGUUAGGGCAUCCAAAAGCACUUGGGACGGUGCAAAUCAUGAUUGCUUUGGUAAUGCUGUUGAUAGGAAUCGUAAUGGCCUGGUCACCACGUCCUGACAAUAUUGGAGUCCUUAGUGGAAUCUUUGUAUAUGGGUCUAUAAUUUUUGUCAUUGCUGGCUCUCUUACUGUUGCUGCUGACAACCACCUGAAUAAAUGUCGAGUGAAAGGCUCUCUGGGAAUGAAUGUUGUUGCCGCAGUUACGUCUUUCUUCGGCCUCUUUCUGUAUUCUAUGGACACUGGGGGUAUCAUGCUGUACUUCUACUGUAAUCAUCCAUCGAGUCACGGCCAGUAUUAUAAUACAGACAUUGUGUCCGGAAGCUGUCCAGCUUAUUUGACCAGAUCUCAAGGAAUUUCGGGUGUUUUGGUUAUUUUGUCGCUGCUGGAGUUUAUAGUGUCCAUCUGUGUUUCGUCCUUCGGCUGCAAAGCCGUCUGUCAGUGCUGCAAGUGCUGCCACACACCUGAGGUAAUCAUUUUUGGAGAACAAAUUCUGGUUCCCCAAGUUGGCAUGAUGCCUCCAAACCCUGCGGGUGUGCUUCCCAGAUGUGAGACUGUGAACAACCCAAAGGAUCCUGAGAGAGAGAGUAUGGGUACAGAAUUUCUACAGUCCAACCCGCCUUCACAAUACAACUAUGCCUUCCCCUGAAAAACAGACCUCACAUGGUUAUUUUUAGUGUUGGCCAAUGUUUCUUCUACACAAAAUCAACUUAAAUUCUAGGCCUGUUUUAACAAUUAAAUAAAUGUAGGUUGUAAUGUAGACCUGUUUUUAAUACAUUUAAUUUAAUAUAUUUAAUCCAUUAUUUUUAAUUCAUUGCGCGGCCCGCGAGCCACAGAUUGGCCCUGGUGGGAGAAUGUGUGGCCCUUGAUGUGUCCACCAUUGCAUUAAGGGUUGCAUGGUUUUGUCUGGUGGUAUCCCUCAAACUGAUGUUUUAUCAACCAAAGUGUGUCUAUACCUACAUUUCCUACUAAACAAAAUCAAGUUUUAUUCUAGGCCUGUGAUGUCUAUUAAAUUCAUUUAACUUAAAACCUAGGCCUGUUUCCAAAUACAUGUAAUCAUUUUCUUGUCUAGGCCUAUGCUUCCUAUUAACCAAAAUUGUGUGUAGAUUUACAGCAGUUUUUUCUAUUAAACAAAAUCAUUUUAUCUAUUCUUCUAGAAUCAGUGUAUCUUGAAUUCACUCCAGGAUUCAAUGUUUCGUAUCUGCUGUGUAGUUUGUUGUGGUGUUUGUGGAGUAAUACUGGAGUGGUGGUGUGAUUUUUAAAUAUUUAAAAUAAAAACGUUGGGCCACUAAAUAAAGUACAGUGUUCU